UACGUAGGGUGCAAGCGUUGUCCGGAAUUAUUGGGCGUAAAGAGCUCGUAGGCGGUUAGUCGCGUCUGCUGUGAAAACUCGGGGCUUAACUCCGGGCCUGCAGUGGGUACGGGCUGACUAGAGUGCGGUAGGGGAGACUGGAAUUCCUGGUGUAGCGGUGAAAUGCGCAGAUAUCAGGAGGAACACCGGUGGCGAAGGCGGAUCUCUGGGCCUUACCUGACGCUGAGGCGCGAAAGCUAGGGGAGCGAACAGG
rnacentral:rRNA from 1 species